rnacentral:siRNA from 1 species
GUAGGUGAGUGUGUUUGGUCACCC